GUACAGUAUGCAGUAGGCCCUUUGUAUCCAAGGAUUCAACCAACUGUGGAUGGAAAAUAUUUUUUUUAAACCCAAUAAAAACAAUAUAACAAUAAAAACUAAUGUAAAUAAAACAAUAUAGUAUUAACUAUUUACAUAGUAUUUACAUUGUAUUAGGUGUUGUAAGUAAUAUAAAGAGGAUUUAAAGUAUAUGGAAGGAUAUGUAUAAGUUAUGUACAAAUACUGUACCAUUUUAUAUCAGUGAUUUGAGCACCUGUGGAUUUGAUAUCUAUGGGGGUCCUGGAACCAAGCCCCCAUGGAUACGGAGGGACAAUUUUAUCACUCAGAGAUUCUGGAUUCUGGACUUUGAACUCAAUGCCAUGACUGAGGAAGACCAUGGGGUUUUCUCUCUUAGAGGGGAAUGAACCCAGAGCUUUGAGUUGAGAUGGGGGUGCCAUAAGAUUGAAGUACUCUGAAAAACAGAGCUUAAAGGCUUUUAACAGGGCUCAGUAAACACUUAAGGAAGUUGCCGUGCACUGCAGCCUGCCGGAGACAUGAAGGAAUGUACGGGAGGAUAAUUGCAACAUCAUCAACCCAAUUCUCCAAGUAAUUUGCCAUGGGACAGGCACACCCCAUGUGUUUGGGAAGACAAUGGGAAGGUUCUGUUUUCUGCUCCAAGACUGAUUCAACCAGUUGGAUCUGGAAGGGGAUAAAGGGCUGUGCGGCUGCUUGAUUUUCAUUGUCUAGUGGCAGCCAAAAUUGGAAAAGAGAGAAGUGCAGACUUUAAAGGCAAGCAGCGACAGCUCAUCAGCAGUCUAACAACACGACAGAUGACAGGCCCAGA
rnacentral:lncRNA from 1 species